rnacentral:rRNA from 1 species
UGGGGAAUCUUCCGCAAUGGACGAAAGUCUGACGGAGCAACGCCGCGUGAGUGAAGACGGCCUUCGGGUUGUAAAGCUCUGUGAUCCGGGACGAAAGAGCCUGAGGUAAAUAGCCUAAGGAAGUGACGGUACCGGAAAAGCAAGCCACGGCUAACUACGUGCCAGCAGCCGCGGUAAUACGUAGGUGGCAAGCGUUGUCCGGAAUUAUUGGGCGUAAAGCGCGCGCAGGCGGCUUCCUAAGUCCAUCUUAAAAGUGCGGGGCAUAACCCCGUGAUGGGAUGGAAACUGGGAAGCUGGAGUAUCGGAGAGGAAAGUGGAAUUCCUAGUGUAGCGGUGAAAUGCGUAGAGAUUAGGAAGAACACCGGUGGCGAAGGCGACUUUCUGGACGAAAACUGACGCUGAGGCGCGAAAGCGUGGGGAGCAAACAGG